rnacentral:rRNA from 1 species
GGGUCUACCCAUUGGUCAGGCUUAAUUGUCUGUACUGGUGAGAUGGAUCUCUACCUUCUGAGGAACUUUCAUGCCAUUUAAUUGGUGUGGUUGGAAAUCAGGACUGUUACUUUGAAAAAAUUAGAGUGUUUAAAGCAGACUAUCGUCUGAAUACAUUAGCAUGGAAUAAUGAAAUAGGACGGACUGAUUCUAUUUCGUUGGUUUCGCUUGGCUGAAGUA